CAACUCCUAAAAUACAGAGGGUCAAUCUCAUCUUGAUCCACACACUGACUACAACAAGUAUUUAACUGUGUCCAGAAACUUUCUGUCACUGAAUUAAAAAUUUUGAUAGUCCGACACCAAAGUACAGUAAGUUGCUUGCAAGUCACCGUAAUGAUCUCAGGUCUAAGGGAUACUUAUAUCUAUAUUCUUCACGAGCAACCC
rnacentral:lncRNA from 1 species